CAGUAGCCGCGGGAAAACGAAGGGGGCUAGCGUUGCUCGGAAUGACUGGGCGUAAAGGGCGCGUAGGCGGCGGCCAAAGUCAGGCGUGAAAUUCCCGGGCUCAACCUGGGGGCUGCGUUUGAUACUUGGUUGCUUGAGUGGGGAAGAGGGUCGUGGAAUUCCCAGUGUAGAGGUGAAAUUCGUAGAUAUUGGGAAGAACACCGGUGGCGAAGGCGGCGACCUGGUCCUUUACUGACGCUGAGGCGCGAAAGCGUGGGGAGCAAACAGGAUUAGAUACCCCGGUAGUCCCUGUCUCUUAUAC
rnacentral:rRNA from 1 species